UGGGUGGAUUGGGCAGUCACCUGGCAUUAGCUGGGAGGAAAGUCCGGACUCCGCAGGACAGGUUGCCCAUGUUUGGAGCAUGGGACUCUACUUUUUGUAGGGAUGGAAAGUGCCGCAGAAAAGAUACCGCCUACCUACGCCCUUCGGGCUUCGGCAGGCAGGCCCCCUUAUAUGAAUGAAUAGAGUGGGCUUGCCCACCGGAGCUCGCAGAGCGUAGGUGGGUAAGGGUGAAAUCGUGAGGUAAGAGCUCACGCCUGGAUCAGGUAACUGGUUCAGAGGGUAAACCCCAGCUGGAGCAAUUUCAAGCAGAAGAGCAUGGUAGUCCGCUAUUCAUCUCUGAUGAAACUCUUCGGGUAGGAAGCUAGUAUCUCCAUGCAAAUGGGGAUCCAGAUCAAUGGCUGCCUCAUCCUCUUUUGAGGGUAAGACAGAAUCCGGCUUAUAGAUCCACCCAUUUA
rnacentral:RNase_P_RNA from 1 species